UGAGAACUGAUGACGUUGACGCUGCAUGGGAUGCGUAUACAUACACAAUAGUUGAAGAUGUAUACAACAUUAUAACAAUUGUCGAUAACCAAAUAUACCUUCGUCAGGCUCUGGAUUAUGAGUUACAAGACAAUUAUUCGGUUACAGUGAGGUCAACCGAUUCAGCUGGAUUGUGGGUAGAGCAGGAACUUGCCCUUCAAGUUCUUGAUACCAAUGAUUCCCCCAGUGGCGUGACGAUUACAAAUGAUAAAGUAAUAGAAAAUACUAAUGGUAACACGGCAGUCGGGUUUCUUCAAGCUGUAGACCAAGAUGCCGGACAAACAUACACAUAUACAUUAGUUGAUGACGCUCAAGGCAGGUUUAGCAUCUCUUCUGGCAAUCUACUACAAACAGCUCUCUCUGAUGCUGAAUGCCAGCAACUCUUCAAUGACGCGUGCUUCAACUAUGAGAGGCAACAGUACCACGAUAUCAUAGUUGCAGUUCAAGAUAACGGCAACCCAACAAAGACAGAGUACCACACUCUGAGGAUAUAUAUUGAGAAUACGAAUGAGCCACAUGCUGGACUAGAGAUCUCCUCAAAUGUUAUCGAGGAGGCAUUCACAUCAGGUGAGAUUUAAUGAAUUGUUUACAAUUAGGUCAUUUGAUGAACUUAUCAGAUACAAGUUGUGAUCAUAAACUAUG